UACGUAGGGUGCAAGCGUUGUCCGGAUUUAUUGGGUUUAAAGGGUGCGUAGGCGGCCCGUUAAGUCAGUGGUGAAAUACAGCAGCUCAACUGUUGAUGUGCCAAUGAUACUGGAGGGCUAGAGUACAGACAAGGUAAGCGGAAUUGACAAUGUAGCGGUAAAAUGCAUAGAAAUUGUCAAGAACUCCGAUAGCGCAGGCAGCUUACUAGCCUGUAAAUGACGCUGAGGAACGAAAGUGUGGGGAUCAAACAGG
rnacentral:rRNA from 1 species